rnacentral:rRNA from 1 species
CCCUUAGAUGUUCUGGGCCGCACGCGUGCCACACUGAGUGGAUCAGCGGGUCAGGUUGCGCGAAAGUGUUUCCUAAUCUUUAAAUCCGCUCGUGAUGGGGAUUGACGGUUGCAAUUUUCCGUCAUGAACGAGGAAUACCUUGUAAGCGCGGGUCAUCAUCCCGCGCUGAAUACGUCCCUGCCCUUUGUACACACCGCCCGUCGCUCCUACCGAUUGAGUGGUCCGGUGAGGCUUUGGGAUCUGAGCGGAAAGAGCGUUUCGCUGUUUCUGCCCGGAAAACUCAGUCGAACCUUAUCAUUUAGAGGAAGGAGAAGUCGUAACA